rnacentral:pre_miRNA from 2 species
GUAUAUGGUUUUUGGAAGAAUUGUGAGGUCAAAUUGAACGCAUUUCGAGUAUUGUUGCAAAUGUGUAUAAUUUGGCCAUCAUAUUUAUCCAAAAUGAGCAUCGCCAAAUGUGC